GCGUUGGUGCUUCAGUGGUAGAAUUCUCGCCUUCCAUACAGGAGACCCAGGUUUGAUUCCUGGCUAGUGCA
rfam:Loxodonta africana unplaced genomic scaffold scaffold_7, whole genome shotgun sequence.